UCACCAUCUUGAGCGGCCGAGAGAUCUGGGUCGACGACGCCGCAGCAACCACACCCCCACCGACCGGGCGCAGGUGCUAACGCCAGGACCGAUGGAAA
rnacentral:ncRNA from 2 species